UACCCAGACUCCUACGGGAGGCAGCAGUGGGGGAUAUUGCACAAUGGGGGGAACCCUGAUGCAGCGACGCCGCGUGGGUGAAGGAGCGUUUCGGCGCGUAAAGCCCCGUCAGCAGGGAAGAAAAUGACGGUACCUGAAGAAGAAGCCCCGGCUAACUACGUGCCAGCAGCCGCGGUAAUACGUAGGGGGCAAGCGUUAUCCGGAUUUACUGGGUGUAAAGGGGGCGCAGACGGCGAUGCAAGCCAGGAGUGAAAGCCCGGGGCCCACCCCCGGGACUGCUCUUGGAACUGCGUGGCUAGAGUGCAGGAGGGGCAGGCGGAAUUCCUGGUGUAGCGGUGAAAUGCGUAGAGAUCAGGAGGAACACCGGUGGCGAAGGCGGCCUGCUGGACGGCAACUGACGUUGAGGCCCGAAAGCGUGGGGAGCAAACAGGAUUAGAUACCCUGGUAUGC
rnacentral:rRNA from 1 species